AGAGUUUGAUCCUGGCUCAGGACGAACGCUGGCGGCGUGCUUAACACAUGCAAGUCACGGGGGUGCCGGGGGCGACCCUGGCACAACCGGCGAACGGGUGCGUAACACGUGAGCGACCUGCCGCGCCCUGGGGGAUAGCCGGCCCAACGGCCGGGUAAUACCGCAUACGCUCGCCCCGGGGCAUCCCGGGGCUGAGGAAACCUCCGGGGGGGCGCGAGGGGCUCGCGGCCUAUCAGCUCGUUGGCGGGGUGACGGCCCACCAAGGCGACGACGGGUAGCUGGCCUGAGAGGGUGGCCAGCCACAUUGGGACUGAGAGACGGCCCAGACUCCUACGGGAGGCAGCAGUGGGGAAUCUUGCGCAAUGGUCGAACGACUGACGCAGCGACGCCGCGUGCGGGAGGACGCCCCUCGGGGUGUAAACCGCUGUUGCCCGGGACGAACAGUCCCUUUCGAGGGGCCUGACGGUACCGGGUGAGGAAGCGCCGGCUAACUCCGUGCCAGCAGCCGCGGUAAUACGGAGGGCGCGAGCGUUGUCCGGAAUCACUGGGCGUAAAGGGCGCGUAGGCGGCGGGUCAAGCGUGCGGUGAAAGCCCGGGGCUCAACCCCGGGUCGGCCGUGCGGACUGGCCCGCUGGAGCACUGUAGGGGCGGGCGGAAUUCCGGGUGUAGCGGUGGAAUGCGUAGAGAUCCGGAAGAACACCGGUGGCGAAGGCGGCCCGCUGGGCAGUGGCUGACGCUGAGGCGCGACAGCGUGGGGAGCAAACAGGAUUAGAUACCCUAGUAGUCC
rnacentral:rRNA from 1 species